rnacentral:rRNA from 1 species
UACAGAGGGGGCAAGCGUUGUUCGGAAUUACUGGGCGUAAAGAGCUCGUAGGCGGCUUGUCACGUCGGGUGUGAAAGCCCGGGGCUUAACCCCGGGUCUGCAUUCGAUACGGGCUGGCUAGAGUGUGGUAGGGGAGAUCGGAAUUCAUGGUGUAGCGGUGAAAUGCGCAGAUAUCAGGAGGAACACCAAUGGCGAAGGCAGCUCACUGGGACGGUACUGACGCUGAGACGCGAAAGCGUGGGGAGCAAACAGG